GCCAACACCACCAUGCAGGCCCCGUAACCCCGCUCAGGAGAGGGACCUGAAGCAUGAGGUGACUUCUGCCCAGCCUGUGGUGGGGGCACCCAGACACAGGUUCAAGCUGUGUGGGAUCCCUGUGCAGGAUCCAAGCCUCUUUGACCAUCUCCUGGACUUUCAGCCACGAGGAAAGGCCUCCCUGCCUUGGGGUGCAGAGCUGAGAGGUGCCUCACAGCCAGCACCUGAGCUGGGUCCUGCAUGGAGCAUCCUGGCCCCAGGCAUUUUUCCUUUUUGACUUGCUCACGAAUCAAACCCGGUUUGAAUACAGAGCCUCAGGCCAUUUCUGCCUCGAUUCAGAUCUUACAAGCAUAGCUGCAAACCUACCAAGAAGUUUUUCAUGUGUCUGCCUUCUCUGGAUUCAGCGCAGCAAAGGCCACAUCUAGCUGAAAUGAAUACCCAUGUGUGAGAAGCAACGACGGUGUCUUGUUGUGGAAAGCUUGUGCUCACCGAGGCUGGAAAGACCUUCAAAGAAAAGCUCUGGUGAUCCUGGGCAACUGGGAAUUCUCACGUUGAUGAUAGAUCAAACCAAGACUUCCAAUGUAACUGCUGUACAAAUUGUCAGCCUGACCUCUCUCUGCACCUGUCCUGUUUGGAGGACGACAUUUUCAAAAACAGCCCAACAAUUCAUGCCUACAAGAGCCCUUGGAAGCAAUAAUGGAGCAAUAACCACCCACCUGUUUCUGGACUCACAAACCAGGUAACUUGUCAUGAGAAGCCACCUGUGUUUGUGUGUGUGCUCAUUCCCAUGUGUACCCAAACUCCUGGUUGAAGCUGCACCUUUGAAAUCACUCUUACAGAAGGCAAUUUAAUUUCAAGAAAUUAGCAGGAGAUGCAGAAGGAAUGAAGGCUGCUUUCCAAGGUUGCUGCGACUCUCUCCUUUCUGGCCUUUUCCAUCCAGGUGACUAGGACCAGGGAGAGAAAUUUCUGAUGUCUACUAGAGAGCUGUUCUU
rnacentral:lncRNA from 1 species